GUAAACGUUAGGAGGAGGUUAUGCCUUAAACUUAUGAGUAAGGAAAAUAACGAUUCGGGGUGACGCCCGAAUCCUCACUGCUAAUGUGAGACGAAUUUUUGAGCGGGUAAAGGUUGCCCCUACGGUGACCCGCCUACUUUGCGGGAUGCCUGGGAGUUGCGAUCUGCCCGUACUCCUUGCAUCUAAAAAAUAGAAUUUAAUAAUUAACCGAAUUGAGUGAAAGUUGAAGACGAACUAAGGAAUUAUGUGUAGUCACCAUUAUUGAUUAACAGUAGUGGUCAAACUUCGCGCCCCUACCCGGGGUUGUUAACCCGUAAAACGGUUAAGAUUGGGUUUAGAUAAGAGUCAGUUCUUUGCAGCUUACGAGGUACGUUGACUGGGAGUGCUACCAAUUAAUUGUUCGGGGGAGACAACGUGCAAUACACAAGAGCCUCGUUGUGUGGGUUAUAAUGAAGUGCUUACGUAACACGGCUCACACUUCUGGGCAGUAGGACGUUUACAACCGAAUGUUUUGGCCAGCCUGACCGUUGUCUUCCUAAUCUGCACAAUGGGGCACAUGAACUACGUCGCUGCGAGGGCCAAAUGAAGUGUUCCGAAUCUGUAUUUUUUUUUUUAAUUGAUGUAAUCUCAGUCUCCAGCACUGAUCCUGGUGGGAGGUUCAGUAUGUCGAACCAGUGAAUGAAAAAUACAACAACAGCAGGAAACGGAAUUCCUUGGCGAUCCAGUGGUGAGGACUGCGCGGUUCUGCUGCAGCGGGCCCGGGGUUAGAUCCCUGAUCGCGGAAGUAAAACACCCGCAUGCAGCGCGGUGUGGCCGAAACACCACCAACAGAAAAACAGAAACAUAAAACAAAGACUAAACGUGCAACGCGUUUUAGGCCAGCGCCGAACAAAGAUUAAGUGCCCUAUGAAUCACUGCUGUAAGUACAACGGGUGAGUGGAGUUAUGUGUUCUCGACAGAACAUCACACCGCAGAUGAAAACCUGGCAUCAGAAAGAAGGUCCGUGGAGAGACGAGCUGGUGAAGAUUGGGCACCGGAGGAGGGAAAUCCAGGUCCCCGCCUUCGCAGCCGUGAUUGGCUGCUGGCUGGCCCUCCUUUUCUCAGCCGUGAAACAGAACCAUUAACUGCUCCCUCCGCGAGGUGCCGGGAAGGAACGCGGAAACCAGGAACCAACCCUUGGCCGGCUGCACAGCGGAGGGCAGGCAGACGGGGACAGGCACCAGGAGACCUAAUGUGUGUCAAGCGCUCAGCAGAGUCCUCAGCAGACGGUAGGUGUGGAGAAGAGCCAUCAGGGCCUGAGAGGCCCAGGCUGAGUCCUUCCCCUGCCCACUGAGGAGUCCCAGCCCUGCUCCAGGAUGUGUGAGGGCCAGAGACAGAAUGGAAGGAAUCUACCCUGAAAGAAGUCAUAAGAAAGGAGGGUGAAGGACUGCCCCUGCUGGCGCAAUGCCUAAGAAUCCGCCUGCCAGUGCAGGGGCCACGGGUUCGAGCCCUGGCCUGGGAGGAGCCCACAUGCCGUGGAGCAACUAAGCCCGUGUGCCACGACUAC